rnacentral:rRNA from 1 species
UAGGGAAUAUUGCUUAAUGGGCGAAAGCCUGAAGCAGCAACGCCGCGUGAACGAAGAAGGCCUUCGGGCCGUAAAGUUCUUCUACGUGGGAUGAGGAAGGACAGUACCACGAGAAUAAGUCUCGGCUAACUACGUGCCAGCAGCCGCGGUAAAACGUAGGAGACGAGCGUUAUCCGGAUUUACUGGGCGUAAAGCGCGUGUAGGAGGCGCUACAAGUUGGAUGUGAAAGCUCCCGGCUUAACUGGGAGAGGUCGUUCAAGACUGUAGAGCUAGAGUGAGGCAGAGGUAGAUGGAACUCCGGGAGUAGUGGUGAAAUGCGUAGAUAUCCGGAAGAACACCAGAGGCGAAAGCGAUCUACUGGACCUAAACUGACACUGAGACGCGAAAGCCAGGGUAGCAAACGG